GAUGAAGUACGCAGCGAAAUGCGAUACGUAGUGUGAAUUGCAGAAUUCAGUGAAUCAUCGAAUCUUUGAACGCACAUUGCACCUCUCGGUAUUCCGGGAGGUAUGCCUGUUCGAGCGUCAUUUGUACCCUCAAGCUCUGCUUGGUGUUGGGUGUUUGUUCCGCCUCUGUGUGUGAACUCGCCUCAAAACAAUUGGCAGCCGGCGUACUUGUUUCGGAGCGCAGCACAUUUUGCGAUCCAGAUCAACGUACAGCGGCAUCCAAGAAGCCUUAUUUAACGCUCUUGACCUCGGAUCAGGUAGGGAUACCCGCUGAACUUAAGCAUAUCAAUAAGCGGAGGA
rnacentral:misc_RNA from 1 species